rnacentral:rRNA from 1 species
UCAUAAUGUCUACAGUUCGGCGCUGAUGACAAUUAACCAGGCGUUUUUCCAGGUGGUGUCGAUGGCGACAACCGCCGGGUUUACGACUGACAGCAUUGCCCGCUGGCCGCUCUUUUUGCCGGUACUGCUUUUAUGUUCAGCUUUUAUCGGCGGUUGUGCCGGGUCAACGGGCGGUGGCCUGAAAGUGAUCCGCAUCCUGCUGCUGUUUAAGCAGGGGAACCGUGAACUGAAACGACUGGUGCAUCCGAACGCCGUCUAUAGCAUUAAGCUGGGGAAUCGCGCACUGCCGGAACGUAUCCUCGAAGCCGUUUGGGGAUUUUUCUCCGCCUAUGCAUUGGUGUUUAUUGUCAGUAUGCUGGCGAUUAUCGCCACGGGCGUGGAUGACUUUUCUGCCUUUGCCUCGGUUGUUGCGACAUUGAAUAACCUGGGGCCAGGGCUUGGCGUGGUUGCUGAUAACUUUACCAGUAUGAACCCGGUGGCUAAAUGGAUCCUGAUUGCCAACAUGCUGUUUGGUCGUCUCGAGGUCUUUACAUUGCUGGUGCUCUUUACCCCGACUUUCUGGCGUGAAUGAUGGAGUAAUACGUGAAAACAUUAAUUCUUUUCUCAACAAGGGACGGACAAACGCGCGAGAUUGCCUCCUACUUGGCUUCGGAACUGAAAGAACUGGGGAUCCAGGCGGAUGUCGCCAAUGUGCACCGCAUUGAAGAACCACAGUGGGAAAACUACGACCGUGUGGUCAUUGGUGCUUCUAUUCGCUAUGGUCACUACCACUCUGCGUUCCAGGAAUUUGUCAAAAAGCAUGCGACGCGGCUGAAUUCGAUGCCGAGCGCGUUUUACUCCGUAAACCUGGUGGCGCGUAAACCGGAGAAGCGCACUCCACAGACCAACAGCUACGCGCGGAAGUUUCUGAUGAACUCGCAAUGGCGUCCCGAUCGCUGCGCGGUCAUUGCCGGGGCGCUGCGUUACCCACGUUAUCGCUGGUACGACCGUUUUAUGAUCAAGCUGAUUAUGAAGAUGUCAGGCGGUGAAACGGAUACGCGCAAAGAAGUUGUCUAUACCGAUUGGGAGCAGGUGGCGAAUUUCGCCCGAGAAAUCGCCCAUUUAACCGACAAACCGACGCUGAAAUAAGCAUAAAGAAUAAAAAAUGCGCGGUCAGAAAAUUAUUUUAAAUUUCCCCUUGUCAGGCCGGAAUAACUCCCUAUAAUGCGCCACCACUGACACGGAACAACGGCAAACACGCCGCCGGGUCAGCGGGAUUCUCCUGAGAAUUCCGGCAGAGAAAGCAAAAAUAAAUGCUUGACUCUGUAGCGGGAAAGCGUAAUAUACGCCACCUCGCGACAGUGAGCUGAAAGCCGCGUCGCAACUGCUCUUUAACAAUUUAUCAGACAAUCUGUGUGGGCACUCGAAGAUACGGAUUCUUAACGUCGCAAGACGAAAAAUGAAUACCAAGUCUCAAG